UUGACCUCGAAUCAGGUAGGACUACCCGC
rnacentral:rRNA from 3 species